rnacentral:rRNA from 1 species
GACGAACGCUGGCGGCGUGCCUAAUACAUGCAAGUUGAGCGCUGAAGGUUGGUACUUGUACCAACUGGAUGAGCAGCGAACGGGUGGGUAACGCGUGGGGAAUCUGCCUUUGAGCGGGGGACAACAUUUGGAAACGAAUGCUAAUACCGCAUAAAAACUUUAAACACAAGUUUUAAGUUUAAAAGAUGCAAUUGCAUCACUCAAAGAUGAUCCCGCGUUGUAUUAGCUAGUUGGUGAGGUAAAGGCUCACCAAGGCGAUGAUACAUAGCCGACCUGAGAGGGUGAUCGGCCACAUUGGGACUGAGACACGGCCCAAACUCCUACGGGAGGCAGCAGUAGGGAAUCUUCGGCAAUGGACGAAAGUCUGACCGAGUAACGCCGCGUGAGUGAAGAAGGUUUUCGGAUCGUAAAACUCUGUUGGUAGAGAAGAACGUUGGUGAGAGUGGAAAGCUCAUCAAGUGACGGUAACUACCCAGAAAGGGACGGCUAACUACGUG